UUUUAUGAGAGUUUGAUCCUGGCUCAGGACGAACGCUGGCGGCGUGCCUAAUACAUGCAAGUCGUACGCUUCUUUUUCCACCGGAGCUUGCUCCACCGGAAAAAGAGGAGUGGCGAACGGGUGAGUAACACGUGGGUAACCUGCCCAUCAGAAGGGGAUAACACUUGGAAACAGGUGCUAAUAC
rnacentral:rRNA from 2 species